AUGGCCUGGACCGCUCUCCUGCUCCCCGUCCUCACUCUCUGCACAGGCUCCAUGGCCUCCAGUGGGCUGACUCAGUCUCCCUCGGUGUCAGUGUCCCUGGGACAGACGGCUACCAUCACCUGCUCUGGAGACACACUGAGUGAAUACUAUACACAAUGGUACCAGCAGAAGCCAGGCCAGGCCCCCGUGACAGUUAUCUAUGAGGAUAGCAAGCGGCCAUCAGGGAUCCCUGGCCGAUUCUCAGGCUCCAACUCGGGGAACACGGCCACCCUGACCAUCAGCAGGGCCCGGGCCGAGGACGAGGCUGACUAUUACUGUGCUGCAAGAGAAGAAACUAGUCACCUUGAUGUCACAGGAAUUGAGACUGUCGAAACACAGAGUGAAAUAGCUGGGAAAAUUAAAGAAAACCUCAAUGCAGGGAGGACAGCGUCACUCCACCUAAAGAUGUGUAAUUAG